CCCCUCUCUUCCUCUCCAUUGUUGGCAUUCGCUCCCCUCUCUUCCUUUCAAAUCCUACCACCCUAAUACUUUGAUUUUGACCCACUGCACCCAAUCGUUUAAUUCUCUCUCUGAUUCACACACCAGGUGUGAGGUCUAAAACUCCAAGGAAACAAAUUCACAUCCACAUUCACAGGGGGCAAGAGAUUCCAAGGAAAAGUGGCCAUUGUGUCUGGUUCCAAUCAGGGCAUAGGCUACACCAUUGUGCACCAUCUUGGCUUGGAAGGUGCUUCUAUUGUCGUCUCUUACCACAACAAGAAAUUUGAAAAGAUAGAUGUGAUUGUUUCAAAUGCUGCUGUCAAUCCAAUGGCUGGCAAAAACGCAACCACAAUUAUGGGAACCCAAGAAUCCAUUCUCAACAAGAUGUGGGAAGUAAAUAUCAAAGCUCCUAUUCUUCUUAUGCA